AGGGGGAGUGAGCUUUGCUUUCCCGGGGUCUAGGGCUGUUUCCUCCUCUCUUACCCAUAAACUCAGCUCCUCGAGCUAAAUACCCAAAAGGGAGCGAGAGAUUUGAACCACUGGAAAAUAGAGAGAGAGAUAGUAGGGUUAGAGGAGCGAGUAAGAGGGGAAAAAAAAGCAAACAAUAAACACCACAGAUCUUUCCAGCUAGAAUAUUAGGCACCACGAGAAAAAUAUUUGCCAAGCGAUUUUCGGUCGCAGUGGGAAAAAAAAAAAAAAAGAAGAAGGAUCUCUGGAGUCUGUGUCUCAGAGCUCAGCCGGAGGGACUUGCAAAGGCCGGCCGGGCCCGUGUCAGCGAGCCUGCGUGCGUUUAGAACAGCCUGUGCUGCAACUCCAGGGCACCGCGUGCAGGCAGGUCCUCAGCUCUCCAGCUCGGGAGGGGAAGAGGAGAAGGGGGGAACCGCUCUUUCUCUUUUCUCUCUCCCUUUCUUUUUAAAGGCAAAUGCAGUAUGCAGAAUCACUUCACUGUGGGCCUCGGUUUGUUUGUUCAGAGCUGCCCGUUUCCCUAUUUAAAUGUUGGUUGGGGUUUUUUCCCCUCCUACUCAUCCCUGAAUGAGGGAGACUCUUGUUGCUUUUAUGUCUCUCUCGCUUAAAAGAAGGGUGUGAGGGGAAAAUAAUAUUUCAGAUUCCUCAAGAAUUAACCCAAAAUGUUUGGACCAGAAGCCGCUUCCAAAGGUCAAGCCAUUCUGAGCCUUGGCCCUGCCAGCGCUUCUAACCACUCAUUAAAUUACAGACGAGUUCUUAAAGGUACCACGAAAUUUCUCCACAUGGUAGUUCCUAAUAAAGAUAUCUCCCCAGAUAAUCUACUUCUCCCCACCCUAGAUUGGGGUUUCUGAUGGAAAGAUGAGCAGCGCUCUGUGAAAAUUGUCCCGGAGCUCUUCACUGACGGUCCCCUACGAAGUUUCAGCUGUCGCAGAAAGCGCCCUUGUCCGGGCACCAAGCCCAUCUCAGAGACUGGGUGGCAAGUUUCGGAACCCCAGAAGUCCAAGGGAGUUGCUUAGCUUGCACGAGGGCUGGUACUCGGGCAAUAUGCCUGUAAAAUCGGGAUAUUUUACUUUAUUGACAGCCGGAGUUCUGCAGCCCCUGCAGCCAAAGCUUCUUGGACAAAGGAUUUUUGACGAAGAUACCGAGGCCUAAUCCUGGCACUGUUGUUGAAAUGAACGUUUUAUCCCCAGAUACGGUCAAGUGCAGGUUCAUUCUGCCGGAAUUCUGCAUUUUGGUUUGGGUCUCCUUCCCCAUCAUUUUCAAGAGCUUUAAAUGAAUCCCAUUGGAUUCAGGAUAAACACCUCGAUUUUGUGGGAAUGGUUCUCAUUGUGUAUUUAUCCAUGUGACUUUCCCCCCUAUCUUUUAUGAGCAGUUAAGUAUUUUAGGAUUUCGCAAAUGUAUUUAUAUGGUUCAGAGUGUGAAUUGUAUGACUCUGCCCUAUUAUUGAUCCCAUAAUAGAAUUACUUUCAUGAUUUUUGGUCCCUUUCUUGUCAAAGCUGGCAUCUGCCUCAUCCCCUAACCCCUCCUUCCCCAACCUUAGGUCCAUACAGCUUGUGGCUCCUGUUCCCUGUGCCGCUCCACGGUUAGCCCCAUGGGGGCGCUGCAGAGCAAAGGGAAAUCUGCUCCCUGAGGCAUAGAACCAGCUAGAGUGGGGGCUGGGAAGGACUUCACCCUUUCCCUGUCUCAGCCUUCUUUCAAAGCUCUGCUGGAGCUUCUGGACAGAGAACCCACCAGGAUGGUUUGUAGAUGAUUAACCUCAUCACCAGGCUUGGUACUGAGACCAAGUGCCAGAGUCCCACAUUUCUACGACUGUCUUUUUUUUUUUUUUCUUUUCUUGCCAAAUCAAUGUGUUUUCAUUGAAAGAAAUUGACCAGAACAGGAGGCAGAGGGAGAGAGAGAGAGAGAGAGAGAGAGAGAGGAGAGGGAGAGAAGAGAUUGUUGAAAAUAUUCUAAAGAUAGACACUUACUUUUAGGUGAGUCUCUUUUCUCUCAACUGAGUGAAUGGUGAGAUAAUUGGGCACUCACCUCUCUCUCUUUUCAGUUCCUAGGAAAGUAACUUUUUCACCUUUUAUACCAAUUGAAUUUCUUCCAGAAUGUCCUUCCUUCUCUCAUUCUUGACCUCUCCCCAGUCAGGAGCCAGCUGGCAUCACUGUGUUGGCCUCCCUCUCUCCAGCAGUGCUAUGUAAUAGGAUUAAAGGCAGAAUCUGCUCAGAUUCUUUUCAAUCAUCCUGAAGAAGCUCUGAAGCCUGAUUCCAUGUCUGGGUCGCAGGCGCGACUCUUACAGACUUUGGGGUGCUGAGAAUCCACGAGUCCCGUGAUGUAACGGUGACUGGCCCGUAGUCUCAGAAUAGAGACCCAGGUCAGUCUUUUGUUCCAUGGACUGGGUAUAGGAAUAGAUCCCUGAUCACAGCUGCCGGGUAAAUAUAAGCUUUAUUACAAAAUAAAAUAGCUAGUACUAACAUUACAUCUAUUUCAGGAAAGGAACGAGGUUCACGUACAGCUUCCCCUCGCAAAACCUCCUCCCCAAUUCAGUUACAGCUGAAAAGGCACCUAUCCUUGGGAAAAAACACCUUCCUGCCCUCGCUAGGGGCUUGCAGGGGAAGUUGGUUUUACCUGUCAAGAACCUCUGGCACUUGAUAGGUCUUUGGGGAUUCGAGAUUUUAGGACGGGAAGAAAUUUUGCAGAUCACUCAACUCUUCCGAGCUUCCUUCUUCGCAGAGGACGGGCUGGCCUCUCACAGAGGCAUGGGUGACCCUAGGAACGUAGCUGAAAAUGGGGCUGCGUGCUUGCUUGCAUGGUCCUGUGUCUCGGGACCAGAUCGGGGUGACCCGACAGCCCGGGUUUGGAGGUGGGUACCUUGUUUUCUUGCAGAAUCGAGGAGAGCCAGCCUGCACUGGGCUCUGUGUGAACUCUAAACUGGUUCUCGGAACCAGCUCCAGGUCCAGGGAAGUGUUGGAGUUCUGAUGGCCAGUGAGAAACCUUUCAGCUGCCUGAAAUUCGAGUCAUUAAACUGUUCCCUGAGGUCAGCCUACAGAGGCUUGGUGCGUGUUUCCUACAUGUCCGUGUCUGUGCAGCCUAUGUACAUCCAGAGAGCCGCACACAGACACCGCGCCAUGGGGCACGGUGCGAAGGAGAAGGGAAGAAUCUGGAUUGGUUGCCCAGAAACCUUGAUUUCUCAUCACAGCUCUGCCUGGAACACCCUCGGGGACACUGAGCCGGGCCAUUUGUGAGGACUCCGUUUCCUCGCGCCCAAAGGCCUCGGAUCCCGCGUGAAUUCUGCGCAUUCUCACUGCGGAGGUUACUUUAGGGUGGAGCUGGGGACCGUGGAAAGGAGCUGUGUCUGUGUACCUGGGGUGUGGUGAGGGGUUAAAAUAUAAACUUCUAAGUAAAGAAGGCAGUCCCAGAAUCCUCACCUCUAUCAAUUGUUAACCAAUUGUAGACCAAAGUCUGAGGUUAUGCUGUGUGGGUCCAAAAGCCAGUUGAAGAUUUUAAACGGUAAGAGUCGGAGGAGGCAGCUUCUAAGACCUUGUACCUUUGAUCGCCAGCAUUCAUAAUCAGACCUGACAGUGGCCAAGUGUUUUUUUGCCCUUUGGAUCGUUUCCUCUUUUUUUCCCUUCUGUUUGUUUUUCAAGACUGUCCCAGUGAGUGAUAGAUGGGAGAUGACACUGGUAAACCGGGCAGCCCUUCAGUCGCUGGACUGCACGUGGAUCAACACAUCUGUCAGAGCUUUCACAGAGAAGGAAGAGGGGGGGAGAGAGGGAGAGGGAGAGAGAGAGAGAGAGCGAGCUUCUCAGCCACCGUUGCACUAAAGGUCAUUAUUUGAAGUCAGAGGAAAUAGCAUGAGGAGUUUGCUCUCACUGAAGAAGGGGAAGCACCCACUGCCACCACCUUGAUCAGUGGGGACAAACGACAACAGUGGAAGAGAUGCUGUGUGACAAUACUUCCUAUACGUUCGGUCAGGCCCGAUUGUCUACAAUGUGAGGCCCUUACCAGACCUCAGCAUCUCAGGAAAUAAUGAAAUGGCUCUUAGUAGCUCCCCACUCCCCCUCCCUCCACUUGCUUAGAGUUUCUGGAACACAGGACACAUGCAGAAGGGGAGAUGCAGCCGAUUACACCCCUUCAGUGUAAAACCGUUGACAAUCACGUGAGAACCAGAGGGGUUCGAUAGCCAUUAUCCAACCAAAUGCCACUGACUUGAUAUCAUAAAAAAAUUGGGGCCCAGAUAAUGCAUUUGCCACCCACAUUGAAUCAUUGACAGAGCUGUACCCAAGACUUUGCCACCUUACUUCUAAAUCCACUGGACUUUUCCCACAGUUUAUUGUGGAAAGGGGGCUUGGAGUAGGCAGCCCUGCCAAAGAGCCAUUUGCCAUGGCCUCACAGUCAGAGAAAGCCUCACAUUCAGAAUUGACAUGAUCUUCACUGAGGCUAUCCAUCAAUCACAGUAGUACAGUGGUGGCAUUGAAGAAAAAGACCCUGAUACACAAGUUUUGUAUGUGGGUCCAUGUGUUAGGAUUUAAUGUUGUUAAUUUAUCAUUGUCUUAUGAAUAACGUAAUGUGUGUGCAUUGAUGUUAAAUAUGUAAGAGUUAAACUGUACGUGGUGGCAGACAUAUGGCUUGGCACUUAAGCUGCUGGUUGGGAUGCCUGUGUCCCAUACUGGAGGGCCUGGGGUCAGUAACCAGCUGUGGCUCCUGAUUCCUGCUGUCUGCUGGUGCAGACCUCGAGAGGCAGCAGCAAUGACCCAAGUAAUUGGGGUCCUGCCACCUGCAUGGGAGGCCUGGAUUGAGUUUUGGUUCCCAGUCUCAGUCCCUUUGCCCAAUGAAGACAACUGGAGAGUGAAUCAGCAGACGGGAGCUUUCUGUCUGUCUGUCUGUUUCUCUUUCUGUCUCUCUGUGUGUCAAAUAAAUAAAAAGUAUUUUAUAUCAAAUAGAAUGUAGUUGGCCUAGAAGCAAUAACAAGCAGUGAGCAUGCCUAGUGCCCAAAUCUUGGUUUCUAAUACCAUUCCCCAGGAAUAGUAACCAAGGCCUCUUGGAGAAAUGAUUGAGAUUAAGACCAGAGCAGGAAGCACACAAAAUGAGAAGGGAAUAUCCUCUAGCCCGUGAAGUACAAAAUUGCUGGAAAUUAAAGCACAACUGUAUGGACAAGGGACAUUUCAAUCAAAGAGACACAGGAACCACUUAAGGAGCUCCCAGUGAGCAACACUGGUACAAUUUAGGAACAGAAUAGAAUAGUAUUUUCGAUUAUUGACCGAAGUACAAAGCAAAUAUCCAUGAGUCUAUACUGAUAUGAACAAGUUGUUGAAAACAUUAGUAAAUGGGGAGAAGAGGCCAGUAUCUCAUGGAGAAGAAUGCCAAGCAGAUCAUGUAGAUGUACUGCCUUCCAGGAUCACGGGCAACAAUCCCCACUCCUUAGGUGUGAGCUGCCUGUAAUGACCUCUUCCAAAGAGCACAUGUGCAAAGGGGGUGCGGAGAGAGUAACUGACCGUGGAGAAACCUGGUAGACACUGCCUCAGCCAAGUGAUCGAGGUCCACAUCCACACUGAUAAGUCAGGCUGAUAGUGUGUUCCCUUGUGGUGACGUUAGGGAAACGGUUCUUUAUCUAAUCACAAGGAAUACAUCAGAAAAAUUUUAGUAGCGAGGCAUCUCACAUAAUACUUGACAUCUAUGCUUCAAAACCAUCAAGGUCAUCAUACACAAUGGAAAUCUGAGAAACUAACAAUUUAAUAUACUGCGAUAUCCUGGGUAGUAGGAUCAUGGGACAGAAAAAGACAUACAAUCAACCUAAACAAACCUAAA